UACAGAGGUCCCGAGCGUUGUUCGGAUUCACUGGGCGUAAAGGGUGCGCAGGUGGUGGGGUAAGUCGGAUGUGAAAUCUCGGAGCUCAACUCCGAAAUGGCAUUGGAAACUGCUCUGCUAGAGGGUCGGAGGGGGGACUGGAAUACUUGGUGUAGCAGUGAAAUGCGUAGGUAUCAAGUGGAACACCAGUGGCGAAGGCGAGUCCCUGGACGACUCCUGACACUGAGGCACGAAAGCUAGGGGAGCAAAC
rnacentral:rRNA from 1 species